CCUACGGGAGGCAGCAGUGAGGAAUCUUGGUCAAUGGACGAGAGUCUGACCCAGCCAAGUAGCGUGAAGGAUGACUGCCCUAUGGGUUGUAAACUUCUUUUAUAAAGGAAUAAAACGACGCACGUGUGCCUUUUUGCAUUUACUUUAUGAAUAAGGAUCGGCUAAAUCCGUGCCAGCAGCCGCGGUAAUACGGAGGAUCCGAGCGUUGUCCGGAUUUAUUGGGUUUAAAGGGAGCGUAGAUGGGUUGUUAAGUCAGUUGUGAAAGUUUGCGGCUCAACCGUAAAAUUGCAAUUGAUACUGGCAGUCUUGAGUACAGUUGAGGUAGGCGGAAUUCGUGGUGUAGCGGUGAAAUGCUUAGAUAUCACGAAGAACCCCGAUUGCGAAGGCAGCUUACUAAACUGUGACUGACAUUGAUGCUCGAAAGUGUGGGUAUCAAACAGGAUUAGAUACCCUUGUAGUC
rnacentral:rRNA from 1 species